rnacentral:rRNA from 1 species
UACGUAGGUGACAAGCGUUGUCCGGAUUUACUGGGCGUAAAGAGCGCGCAGGCGGUCGUUCAAGUCGAGUGUGAAAGCCCCCGGCUCAACUGGGGAGGGUCAUUCGAUACUGAUCGACUCGAAGGCAGGAGAGGGAAGUGGAAUUCCCGGUGUAGUGGUGAAAUGCGCAGAUAUCGGGAGGAACACCAGUGGCGAAGGCGGCUACCUGGACCAGCACUGACACUGAGGCACGAAAGCGUGGGGAGCAAACAGG